rnacentral:piRNA from 1 species
UUUGCUUUCAUUUUUCUGAAA